rnacentral:ncRNA from 1 species
UCGCCAGCGGGAGGCUAUGACACGCGGCCCAUACUCUGGCCGCCCGGACCGCGCCGAGCCACUGGCGAGACCGACCCGUUGGAUC